AGUGUCAACCGCACAUGCAGUGCCAGCCCACAGGCAGUGCCAGCCGCACAGGCAGUGCCAGCCCACAGGCAGUGUUAGCCCCGCAAGCAGUGUCAGCCCCCACAGGCACCAGCCGCACAGGCAGUGCCAGCCCACAGGCAGUGUCAGCCCCGCAGGCAGUGUCAGCCGUGCGGGCGACGUGCACCAACAUGGGUGCCGACGGACGGGUGCCCACAAUCAUCAUAGAUAUGUUCCAUUGCAUAUCUUAAGUGUAGCAAGGAAGUUUAGCAAGGAUCUGAGAUGAUCCCACGGGUCGUCGACGCACGACCCCCGUGCGAGCCUGAGUGUCAGUCCCGAGCGUUUUCGAGCUAUGGAUGGAAUCUUGGGAUUUCGGGUGAGCACACCCUUCCUAGGAUGUUAUUGAAUGUGCUUACCAAUUUUGGCGUCACUUGAACAUCAUUUACCUAAGGGCUUGACUUAGCCAAGGAGCAGUGUCAGUGUCAAAGCUCCCUAAGGCCAUAUCUCGUUCCACGAGCAUGGGGAUGAGAUGAAACUUCAUGGAGGAGUGAAGGAAGUCAAGAGAAAGAGUUAGGAACAGACGGCGCCUCAUUUGGAGUUCGAAUCAUUGAGAAAGGCCAAUUGUGAUUCUCGGGCAGAAUCAUGUCCAGUGCUAAAACUUGGGCUUUUCUUUUUUAAAGCAUAUAUAAGGGGGGCACAGGUGUCUCAGCUCAGCCAGCCUCCCCCGUGCGUGCCACCAUCAAGCCGCACCAAGUGAGCAACCUUGGGGGCCAACCUCAAGGGCCUGCCUAGGCAUCCCCAAAGGGUCCUAGGUACCCAUACGAGUUACGCAACUCUAUGGGCGGCGCUCGGCCACAGGCCAGCGUUGGG